UACGUAGGGUGCGAGCGUUAAUCGGAAUUACUGGGCGUAAAGCGUGCGCAGGCGGCUUCGCAAGUCAGGCGUGAAAUCCCCGGGCUUAACCUGGGAAUGGCGUCUGAAACUACGGAGCUGGAGUGUGGCAGAGGGAGGUAGAAUUCCACGUGUAGCGGUGAAAUGCGUAGAUAUGUGGAGGAAUACCGGUGGCGAAGGCGGCAUCCUGGACCGGCAUUGACGCUGAGGAGCGAAAGCCAGGGGAGCAAACGGG
rnacentral:rRNA from 1 species